GUUAGGGAAGCAGACGGACAAACAGGCAGGAUGGAUGAUAGGCAAAGAGGGAGACCGAAUGCACACACCAGAUGACUUGCGGGGAAGACAGACAGAUGACACACACACCUUUGACUGGACGCUGGGAACACUGGACAGACUGGAGACAAACAGAGAUUAGCAGGAUGGAUGAUAGGCAAAGAGGGAGACCGAAUGCACACACCAGAUGACUUGCGGGGAAGACAGACAGAUGACAC